CGCGUAGGUGGUAGUGCAAGUCUGGGGUGGAAUCUUAGGGCUUAACCCUAAAACUGCCUUGGAAACUGCAUUACUUGAGUCAGUGAGGGGAGGGUAGAAUUCCUGGUGUAGCGGUGAAAUGCGUAGAUAUCAGGAGGAAGGCCUGUGGCGAAGGCGGCCCUCUGGCGCUGAACUGACACUGAGGCGCGAAAGCGUGGGUAGCAAACAGGAUUAGAUACCCUGGUAGUCCACGCCCUAAACGGUGGGUACUAGGUGUAGGGCUCGUAAGGGUUCUGUGCUGAAGGGAAACCAUUAAGUACCCCGCCUGGGGAGUACGGCCGCAAGGUUGAA
rnacentral:rRNA from 1 species